AGGCCUAGGGCUGGCACUGAGGUGUCCGAUUUUGAGACGCCAGGGAAGAAGUCUUAGACGUUAGAGGCCGCACACUCUCAGAGCGCGCUUGCGGGCGUCUGGGCGCGGAUGAGGGGCCUUCUCCAGUCGCGAGUGCACAAAAGGUAGCGCCGAGUCUCUUCUGAGGCGACCCGAGCUAAGAGGAAAGGAGAGCGGGGUUUUCUGACUUCCAACUCAUUAGGGACCAGAGAGAAAGACUAAUUGAUAAAACUUUUGACACUGGAAAACUUGGUUAGAUUAGUAACCAAAGAUGUCAUCAUCUUAGCAACAGAAAAUCUUGGAAAAGGUUUUCUUUCUUCAGGAUCAGACACAGAUUGAAUGGCUCCACUGAUCAGGAUUUGAAAAACCAAAUCGCAGAACCUACUGCUUGGUGUAUGUCUGCCUUGAGCAGUCUCUUCUUUAGCAACAGGACACUUGCAUAAUAUGGGAGCAUCUUUUCUUCUUCACUUCUCCCUGGUUUUGUAAAAUAUGAUCAAUUUUUUUCAUAGUUUUUAAAGUUAACUUCAUGGGAAAUCUCAUUGUAAACACAAUGCAAAAGCUAAAAUGCAUCCCUUGAAAGAGGAGUGUAGGUAAGUGUCAGUUCUAAGUUUGGGGGUGAUCGAGUUAUAUUAAAAUUAUUGCUAAUCUCAUCAACAAUCUGAAAGCUCAACACCUGGAUUUUUGAAACCAUAGGAAACUUCACUAACCUCUCUGUGUGACUUGGAUUUUGAGUGUACAUCCAUAAAGUUGUAGUUGUGUCUGUGAGCCUCAACUGAGAUCAACCAUAGCUUUUCUCUCAGCCACACAGAACUCUUUAGGAGGAUUUUUAAAGUGGUCAUUAUUCACUAUGACCAAAAUUUCAAAAAUGGUUGCUAAACCCCAUAAAAUGCUAUGGGGUAUGCUAUAUACCAUAGCAACCUAAGAAAUAAUAGAUUGGUUGUGAGAGAACUUUUUACUUAUAAAAACAAUACAAACAGGAUAUAAAGUUUUAAAAUGUUCCCCUCUUUCCCCCUUGCCCCCUCAUACUCAAUCCCAUUCCCUGGUAUGCUCAGUUGUGUCCGACUCUUUGCAACCCCAUGAAAUGU
rnacentral:lncRNA from 1 species